GCGGCGGUGGAGGAACGGAAGACUCGCGGCUCUCAAAAAGCCGUGCUCGCAAGAGCGUGUGGGUUCGAAUCCCACCCGCCGCA
rnacentral:tRNA from 1 species